UACGUAGGGUGCAAGCGUUGUCCGGAAUUAUUGGGCGUAAAGAGCUUGUAGGCGGUUUGUCGCGUCUGCUGUGAAAUUUCGGGGCUCAACCCCGAACUUGCAGUGGGUACGGGCAGACUAGAGUGUGGUAGGGGAGACUGGAAUUCCUGGUGUAGCGGUGAAAUGCGCAGAUAUCAGGAGGAACACCGAUGGCGAAGGCAGGUCUCUGGGCCACUACUGACGCUGAGAAGCGAAAGCAUGGGGAGCGAACAGG
rnacentral:rRNA from 4 species